AUAAGCCGGGACUCUCAUGAUAAGGCAAAAUGCACAUGCGCGCAUAUNAUANAGCUNGCAGAAAAGUUGGCUCAUAAAUAGAUUAUUGUCCUUUGUCUUAAACANAUAAAACCUUUUAUCAUGUCNUGUAGAAUGAUAUGCUCCUCCAGAUGGUGGAGUAGAAAAUAAAAUAUAACUUUCAACAAUGGAUCUCUNGGCUCUCGCAUCGAUGAAGAACGCAGCGAAAUGCGAUAAGUAAUGUGAAUUGCAGAAUUCAGUGAAUCAUCGAAUCUUUGAAUGCACCUUGUGCUCCUUGGGUUACCUAUGGAGCAUACCUGUUUGAGUGUCAUGUUAAUCUCAAUCCCCCUUCAGGUUUUUCUAUCUUGUAUAGAAGACCUGUUGUGGAAUUGGACUUUGGAGGCAAUUAAUGCAGGCUCCUCUUGGGAGUCUGCUCCUCUUAAAAGCAUUAGCAGGAGAUGAAGCAAAAAGGCUCUUUAGCAUUGUUCAUUGGCUGUGGUGUAAUAAUUGUUCCAUCAUAGCAGCAUUGCUACGUGAUCAAUGUGCUUGAAUAGAGACUUUGUAGAUGUUCUCUGCUUCUNACUGUCAUUUGUUUGACAUCAGUUAG
rnacentral:rRNA from 1 species